UUAGUUCCUUGCUCUUGAAAAAAAAAAAAGAAAAAAAGAAAAGAAAAAGAGAAGCAAAAUAUUCAGAGGAUUCGUUGGCGGCGGCGAUAAAAACUAUCAUCGUGUGAGCUUUCAGAUUGAGGUCAUUGGAGGCCGUUUGGUUGGUGUCUUAGACGUUGCAAGGUUGGAGAACUUCCCGUUAGCGAGAUACCGUUGCGAGAGAUAGAGCUAGUGGCUGACGAGUUUUUUUUCCGAGUGGAUCCUAUUGCUGAGAUACUAAUCCGACCUCGACGUUUUGAGGAAAAAUGCAUGGAUUGUUCACAACUUCACAUGUGUUUUGAUCUUCCAUAACACCAUAAAAUUUUCACUUCGAGCUUCACUGGCGCAGAGUUCACGGAUCAUAUCAUGCAUUCUGCAAGCUUUGAUUCAACGGGACACUGAAGACAACUAUGCAAGUUCUGUUGAGGUCCAUAUCACUUGGGUUGGAAUUGGAUUUUUCAUUUUUGUUGUGUUUGUUCUAAAUAUUGGUAGGUUGGAAUUGGACUUUUCUUCUGUCUUUUCUAAAUGUUGGUAGGUUAUAAGAGAAACUAGACCUGUAUAUAUAAACAAGUAAGGACAUGAGAUUUUCUUUUGCUAUUAUACAUUAACUUUGAAA